CCUACGGGAGGCAGCAGUGGGGAAUAUUGGGCAAUGGGCGCAAGCCUGACCCAGCAACGCCGCGUGCAGGAAGAAGGCUUUCGGGUUGUAAACUUCUUUUGUCAGGGAAGAGUAGAAGACGGUACCUGACGAAUAAGCCACGGCUAACUACGUGCCAGCAGCCGCGGUAAUACGUAGGUGGCAAGCGUUGUCCGGAUUUACUGGGUGUAAAGGGCGUGUAGCCGGGUUGACAAGUCAGAUGUGAAAUCCCGCGGCUUAACAGCAGAACUGCAUUUGACACUGUUGAUCUUGAGUACUGGAGAGGCAGACGGAAUGCGUAGUGUAGCGGUGAAAUGCGUAGAUAUUAGGAAGAACACCGGUGGCGAAGGCAGUCUGCUGGACAGCAACUGACGGUGAGGCGCGAAAGCGUGGGGAGCGAACAGGAUUAGAUACCCUGGUAGUC
rnacentral:rRNA from 1 species